CACGUAGGGCGCAAGCGUUGUCCGGAAUUAUUGGGCGUAAAGAGCUCGUAGGCGGUCUGUUGCGUCCGCUGUGAAAACUCGGGGCUUAACCCCGAGCCUGCAGUGGAUACGGGCAGACUAGAGGUAGGUAGGGGAGAAUGGAAUUCCCGGUGUAGCGGUGAAAUGCGCAGAUAUCGGGAGGAACACCGGUGGCGAAGGCGGCGUCCUGGCUCACAACUGACGCUCAUACACGAAAGCAUGGGGAGCGAACGGG
rnacentral:rRNA from 1 species